rnacentral:rRNA from 1 species
GACGAACGCUGGCGGCGUGCUUAACACAUGCAGGUCGAACGGAAAGGCCCUUCGGGGUACUCGAGUGGCGAACGGGUGAGUAACACGUGGGUGAUCUGCCCUGCACUUUGGGAUAAGCCUGGGAAACUGGGUCUAAUACCGAAUAGGACCACGCGCUUCAUGGUGUGUGGUGGCAAGCUUUUGCGGUGUGGGAUGGGCCCGCGGCCUAUCAGCUUGUUGGUGGGGUAAUGGCCUACCAAGGCGACGACGGGUAGCCGGCCUGAGAGGGUGACCGGCCACACUGGGACUGAGAUACGGCCCAGACUCCUACGGGAGGCAGCAGUGGGGAAUAUUGCACAAUGGGCGCAAGCCUGAUGCAGCGACGCCGCGUGAGGGAUGACGGCCUUCGGGUUGUAAACCUCUUUCAAUAGGGACGAAGCGCAAGUGACGGUACCUAUAGAAGAAGCACCGGCCAACUACGUG